UACGUAGGGGGCAAGCGUUGUCCGGAAUCAUUGGGCGUAAAGCGCGUGUAGGCGGCCCGAUAAGUCCGCUGUGAAAGUCCAGGGCUCAACCCUGGGAUGCCGGUGGAUACUGUCGGGCUCGAGUCCGGAAGAGGAGUGUGGAAUUCCUGGUGUAGCGGUGAAAUGCGCAGAUAUCAGGAGGAACACCAAUGGCGAAGGCAGCACUCUGGGACGUGACUGACGCUGAGACGCGAAAGCGUGGGGAGCAAAUAGG
rnacentral:rRNA from 1 species